GGACAAACGCUGGCGGCGUGCUUAACACAUGCAAGUCGAACGAUGAAGAAGAGAAACGCGAACUUCGGUUCAAAUUUCACUUCGGAUUAGUGGCAGACGGGUGAGUAACGCGUGAGCAACCUACCUCUUACAAAGGGAUAGCCUCGGGAAACCGUGAUUAAUACCAUAUGACACAUUCAUAAGGCAUCUUAAGAAUGUUAAAGCUACGGCGGUAAGAGAUGGGCUCGCGUCCCAUUAGCUAGUUGGUGAGGUAACGGCCCACCAAGGCGACGAUGGGUAACCGGCCUGAGAGGGUGAACGGUCACAUUGGAACUGAGACACGGUCCAAACUCCUACGGGAGGCAGCAGUGGGGAAUAUUGCACAAUGGAGGGAACUCUGAUGCAGCGACGCCGCGUGAGCGAUGAAGGAAUUCGUUUCGUAAAGCUCUGUUCUAUGGGAAGAAAAGGACUGUACCAUAGGAGAAAGCCCCGGCUAAAUACGUG
rnacentral:rRNA from 1 species